rnacentral:rRNA from 1 species
UUACCAUGCAGUCGAACGAUGAACUCCAGCUUGCUGGGGGGAUUAGUGGCGAACGGGUGAGUAACACGUGAGUAACCUGCCCUUGACUCUGGGAUAAGCGCUGGAAACGGCGUCUAAUACCGGAUACGAGCUUCAGCCGCAUGGCUAGGAGUUGGAAAGAAUUUUGGUCAAGGAUGGACUCGCGGCCUAUCAGCUAGUUGGUGAGGUAAUGGCUCACCAAGGCGACGACGGGUAGCCGGCCUGAGAGGGUGACCGGCCACACUGGGACUGAGACACGGCCCAGACUCCUACGGGAGGCAGCAGUGGGGAAUAUUGCACAAUGGGCGAAAGCCUGAUGCAGCAACGCCGCGUGAGGGACGACGGCCUUCGGGUUGUAAACCUCUUUUAGUAGGGAAGAAGCGAAAGUGACGGUACCUGCAGAAAAAGCACCGGCUAACUACGUGCCAGCAGCCGCGGUAAUACGUAGGGUGCAAGCGUUGUCCGGAAUUAUUGGGCGUAAAGAGCUCGUAGGCGGUUUGUCGCGUCUGCUGUGAAAUCUGGGGGCUCAACCCCCAGCCUGCAGUGGGUACGGGCAGACUAGAGUGCGGUAGGGGAGAUUGGAAUUCCUGGUGUAGCGGUGGAAUGCGCAGAUAUCAGGAGGAACACCGAUGGCGAAGGCAGAUCUCUGGGCCGUAACUGACGCUGAGGAGCGAAAGCAUGGGGAGCGAACAGGAUUAGAUACCCUGGUAGUCCAUGCCGUAAACGUUGGGA